CCCUUGCGGGUGCUAAUACAUGCAAGUCGAGCGAACGGACGAGAAGCUUGCUUCUCUGAUGUUAGCGGCGGACGGGUGAGUAACACGUGGAUAACCUACCUAUAAGACUGGGAUAACUUCGGGAAACCGGAGCUAAUACCGGAUAAUAUUUUGAACCGCAUGGUUCAAAAGUGAAAGACGGUCUUGCUGUCACUUAUAGAUGGAUCCGCGCUGCAUUAGCUAGUUGGUAAGGUAACGGCUUACCAAGGCAACGAUGCAUAGCCGACCUGAGAGGGUGAUCGGCCACACUGGAACUGAGACACGGUCCAGACUCCUACGGGAGGCAGCAGUAGGGAAUCUUCCGCAAUGGGCGAAAGCCUGACGGAGCAACGCCGCGUGAGUGAUGAAGGUCUUCGGAUCGUAAAACUCUGUUAUUAGGGAAGAACAUAUGUGUAAGUAACUGUGCACAUCUUGACGGUACCUAAUCAGAAAGCCACGGCUAACUACGUGCCAGCAGCCGCGGUAAUACGUAGGUGGCAAGCGUUAUCCGGAAUUAUUGGGCGUAAAGCGCGCGUAGGCGGUUUUUUAAGUCUGAUGUGAAAGCCCACGGCUCAACCGUGGAGGGUCAUUGGAAACUGGAAAACUUGAGUGCAGAAGAGGAAAGUGGAAUUCCAUGUGUAGCGGUGAAAUGCGCAGAGAUAUGGAGGAACACCAGUGGCGAAGGCGACUUUCUGGUCUGUAACUGACGCUGAUGUGCGAAAGCGUGGGGAUCAAACAGGAUUAGAUACCCUGGUAGUCCACGCCGUAAACGAUGAGUGCUAAGUGUUAGGGGUUUCCGCCCCUUAGUGCUGCAGCUAACGCAUUAAGCACUCCGCCUGGGGAGUACGACCGCAAGGUUGAACUCAAGGGAAUUGACGGGGACCCGCACAAGCGGUGGAGCAUGUGGUUUAAUUCGAAGCAACGCGAGACCUUACCAAAUCUUGACAUCCUUUGACACUCUAGAGAUAGAGCUUCCCCUUCGGGGACAAGUGACAGUGUGCAUGAUGUCGUCAGCUCGUGUCCUGAAUGUGGUAGGUCCCGCACCGAGCGCAUCGUAGCCUAGUGCAUCAUUAGUUGUCACUCUAAGUGACUGCCGGUACAUCGAGAAAGUUGGAUAGCUCAUCACAUGGCCUUAGAUGGUCUACACACGUGCUCCAG
rnacentral:rRNA from 1 species